rnacentral:sRNA from 1 species
UUUUUUGCUAUCUCGAUCCAAAGAUUCGAACCUGCAGCAGGUUUGAGUUGAGCGCAGCGAAACAACGGAGCCGCUCGCGGCGACGGCCCGAAGGGCGAGCGAAGCGAGUCAUCCUGCACGACCCACCA